rnacentral:rRNA from 1 species
UACGUAGGUGACAAGCGUUGUCCGGAUUUACUGGGCGUAAAGAGCGCGCAGGCGGUCGAUCAAGUCGAGUGUGAAAGCCCCCGGCUCAACUGGGGAGGGUCAUUCGAUACUGAUCGACUCGAAGGCAGGAGAGGGAAGUGGAAUUCCCGGUGUAGUGGUGAAAUGCGUAGAUAUCGGGAGGAACACCAGUGGCGAAGGCGACUUCCUGGCCUGUUCUUGACGCUGAGGCGCGAAAGCUAGGGGAGCAAACGGGG